GCGUGUCGCUUGUGUUUUAUUCUUUUUUGUUGGUAACACUCUUUUAAACGUGAAUUAUGAGGCAUCCAUGAAAUAAGAGGUUUGUCUUCCUUCUUUUAUCGUAUUUUUCAGUUUAGUUUUGCUUUUUUUAGUCCUAAUUUAUUUUUUAAAAUUUUCUGAUAGAGUUAGAAAGAGUUACAACGUUAUUUAUUUCUGCAUCAUCUAUCACAGUAAGUUUUAAAAAGGUUUCAUUUGGAGCUACGAGGAGAUCUACUCCAUGAUAACUUUAGUGGAAAAGAAGAUCUGUGGUUCGAUUUGAUGGUAGAUACUAGUGAUGGUGGGCACUCAUCUUCUUCGAUUGGUACGAAGAGCUACUGUGUUUUAU
rnacentral:lncRNA from 1 species